UGGGGAAUAUUGGACAAUGGGGGCAACCCUGAUCCAGCAAUGCCGCGUGUGUGAAGAAGGUCUUCGGAUUGUAAAGCACUUUCGACGGGGACGAUGAUGACGGUACCCGUAGAAGAAGCCCCGGCUAACUUCGUGCCAGCAGCCGCGGUAAUACGAAGGGGGCUAGCGUUGCUCGGAAUGACUGGGCGUAAAGGGCGUGUAGGCGGUUUACACAGUCAGAUGUGAAAUCCCCGGGCUUAACCUGGGAGCUGCAUUUGAUACGUGUAGACUAGAGUGUGAGAGAGGGUCGUGGAAUUCCCAGUGUAGAGGUGAAAUUCGUAGAUAUUGGGAAGAACACCGGUGGCGAAGGCGGCAACCUGGCUCAUGACUGACGCUGAGGCGCGAAAGCGUGGGGAGCAAACAGGAUUAGAUACCCUGGUAGUCCACGCUGUAAACGAUGUGUGCUAGAUGUUGGGUAACUUUGUUAUUCAGUGUCGCAGUUAACGCGUUAAGCACACCGCC
rnacentral:rRNA from 1 species